GAUCUAUUUAAUUGAGGUGGGUGGCAGGAUGUUCCAUUAUGAGUGAUUAGUCCAGGGGUCUGUCAACACUAGUUAGAAGAAGCCAUCAUCAUUCUUUCAGGAGUAGCCUCCAUUGGUGGCUGUGGUGUGAGGGGGCACGAUGGAUCCCUGGAUGCUGUGGAUAGACUUUUUCUUAGAGUUUGUCCAGUGUCUGAUGUUAGCUCAGGAAUUGAUGGAAGAUAGCAGAGGAAAGGGUAAAAAUACUUUAGAGAAUUGGGUCUUGAUGAUUCCAUGGGCAUUCUGGAUAGUCUCCUGGUGUAACAGUACCUCACUUUGUUCUUGAAUGUCCCUGUGUGGUGGUUGUUCAAGGCUGCUAAGCAGAAACCCAGGUCAUCCUUUGGUAUCUCAGGAUCAAAAAAAUAAAUCACCUCAUGGAGUUGAUUUGAGCUGAACUACUCCAGGGUUCCUUUUGCUGAGAAAAGUGAGUUGGGUUCUUAUAUGGUAGUUUCUUGGAAGCCCAGAGUUUUCCCCAAGUAGGAAUCAUUAUCCAAUGUAGGGCCCUGGAAAGGGUCUCUGGUGAAAGGCAUGGUAAAAUGCAGAAUGAGAUGCUGGUGUGAGAGUCUUUCAUCUUGUUUAGAGCCUCCACUUUCCAGUCUUUGUUAGGAAGUUCUCCCGUAUCAUCAGUUUAUAGAAUGGUCUCUAAAGUUUUCUUGCAAUAUUUUUUUCACUGUUUUGCUCUCAUAUUUUUAUCUGUUUGGAUUUUUUUGUAUGUGUGUAAUAUAUAAGAUUAGAGUCCACUUUAUUUUUUCCCAUCUGGAUAAGCAGUUGUACCAACAUCAUUUAUUAAAUAGUCCAUUUUCUUCCCACCAAAUUAAACUUUCACAUAUAGCAUGUGUUAACUUUUCAUAAAUAUGGCUGUUGGUCAUAAAAAUCCAUAAGUAUGGAUUUUCUAUUUUGUUUUACCAAUUUUCCAUUUCUGUUUGACCUUAUGUUAAGGCAAGACUCUGUUCUUUUUAUGAUUUUCUUUGCUAUUUUCAGCCAUUUAUUUUUCAUAUGAAUUUGAAGAUAAUUUUAUGAAAUUUCAUUAAAAAUAUUGUUUGGAUUCUAACUGGAACUAAUUCAAUGUACAUACUAAUUUGAGGAGGCUUAUUAGUAGGUCUUUUCCCCCAAGAACAUAGCAUAACUUUCCACUCUCAAGAUCUGGUAUAUUCCAGUACAUUUAUUUCAUUUAAGCCUGUGUCUUUCUUAUUUUUUUUUAAAGAUUUUAAUUAUUUAUGAGAGACACACAGAGAGGCAGAGACAUAGGCAGAGGGAGAAGCAGACUCCCAGUGGGAAGCCCGAUGUGGGGGCUUGAUCCCAGGACCCUGCGAUCAUGACCUGAGUCAAAAGCAGAUGUUCAACCACUGAGCCAACCAGAUGCCCCUGUGUCUUUCUUACAAAUAGAUCUCUAAAUGUGUUAUGAUUUUGGAUGCUUAAAUAUAAUACUUUACUCAUUUCCUUUGCUAAUGCUUGUCAGUAGAAUAAAGUUAGAAUUUUUUAAAUUAAAAAAAAAUUUUUUUUAAGAUUUAUUUAUUCAUGAAAGGCAGAGAGAAAGAAAGGCAGAGACACAGGCGAGGGAGAAGCAGGCUCCAUGUUUUGGAGCCUGAUGUGGGACUUGAUCGGGGACUCCAGGACCAUGCCCCAGGCUGAAGGCAGGCGCUAAACCUCGGAGCCACCCAGGGACCACCCAGAAUUUUUUUUAGAUAUUUAUCUUUUAGUCAGCCACCUUACCAAAGAGUGUAAGGUCACAUGGUGAGAUUGGGUAAUGGGUGGGAAUUGAAUGUGUUGGGGUCUGUGGGGACAGGAGUGGGUUGGCCUGGAGCCUGAGGGUAUUAGGAAAGUAAGGGGGCGCCUGAGUGGCUCAGCAGUUGAGCAUCUGCCUUUGGCUCAGGGUGUGAUCCUGGAGUACUGGGUUCAAGUGCCACAUCAGGUUCCCCUCAGGGAGCCUGGUUCUCCUCUGCCUGUGUCUCCCUCUGUGUGUGUCUCUCAUGACUAAAUAAAAUCUUUAAAAAAAAAAAAAGAUCAAGCACAAGAAGAAGAAUUGAUUGUGUGUUCAGGGCAUUGUGUCAAUAGGAGUCUGUUCCACUAUGAGCAACUGUGAGUAACAGGAACAAAAAAUAAUGGAGUACAUGGAAUAAUGUUUAUUUCUCUCUUACAUAAAGAAAGAAGUCUAUUGUAGGCAAUUCAGGCUCUAUAGUCCCAGACUACUAGCUAUAUUCUGCUAUCCUUUAGUUGUAGCUCUCAUUAUUAUGGUCUAAGAUGAACUCCAGGCAUCACAUCCAUGUUCCAGUAGGAGGAUGGAGCAAGGGGAGGAAGAGACAAAGGGCUCAUCAUAGAUACAUCAUAGGAAGUUUCCCAAAUGCUGCCACACAGUAAUUCUACUCACCUUGUUGACCAGAACUGAAUUAUACUGUCGUGUCUAGCUCCAAGGGAUGCUAGGAAAUAUUUUUAUUCAAGAUCAAAAGAAUUUUUUAAUAUUUUAUUUAUUUUUUCAUGAGAGACAGAGACAAGCAGAGACAGGCAGAGGGAGAAGCAGGCUCUCCCCAAGGAGCCCAAUGUGGGACUUGAUCUCAGACCCCGGGAUCACACCCUGAGCAGAAGGCAGAUGCUCAACUGCUGAGCCACCCAGGCAUCCCUCAAAAUCAAAAUUCUAAAGAUUAUAAGGAUUUUUAUUCCAAAUCAGGAUUCCAAAAUGGUGAUAACAGACGUAUUGGGAUUGGGAUAUUGGGAUUGGCAACCAGCAGUCUCUGAUGCAGGUAUAUUUGUGGGGACGUGGGGGCAUGUGCUUUCAUUUGUAGCUCUCAGCUGCUACUGCAGAAAGCAGAAGUUGAAUGGAGCAUGGCGCAGAGGAUUGGGGGACAGCAGAAGAAUAGGCAUGGAGGGUGUGGUUAAGAGAACAGUUUAAGUUUGGUUGGAAAGAAAAGAUGGCUGUCUGGGGGACAUGGACCGGUAGAAAGAGGAGGGAUCAAGGGAUUAGUGAUCUUAGAAAGGCUAGAUGGUUGGGAGGCUAUGUCAGAAAAUGCCUUAUUUGUGGGGCACCUGGGUGGCUCUGUCAGUUAAGCAUUCUACUCUUGUUUUUGGUUCAGGUCAUGAUCUGAGGGUUGUGAGAUUGAGUCUUGUGUUGAACUCUGUGCUGGGUGUGGAACCUGCUUAAGACUCUCUGUUUCCUUUUUCCUCUGCCCACUGCCCCUGCUCACACACUCUCUUUCUCUCCCUUCCUCUCUAAAAAAAAAAAAAAAAAAAAAAAAAAA
rnacentral:lncRNA from 1 species